CAUUACGCUGCAUUUCCAUUUUAUGGCGAAGCGUAGGUAGUAUUGGGAAAAUAAGCUGUAUGAAGGAUUGGCACAGGAGCAGGUGAACUGGUGACGCAUGGCAUACACAUGUGUGAACUUUCAAGAAACAUUGGCCGAGGUCAGUUUACGGGAGGGUGACUCCUGUCGUAACUGCCGCCGACCUACGACGUUUCAAGCCACACCCACUGGGUAGAACUCAUUGCAAUUCAGCCUGGC